rnacentral:lncRNA from 1 species
CCAAGCUGGCCAGGGAGCCUGGAAGCAGAUGAGAUGGGGCCGCAGAGCCUGGUUUGCGGAGGGGAGAGGCAGACGUGUCCUGCAGCCCUCUCUUCUUCAGAGGCCCCCUGCGGGUGCUGAGGGGAGAGUGGCUUAGGCGUUGCACCCCAGGAGACUGAACUGGGUCAGUUCCCCCUUGUUUGCUGCCAGAGAAAUGGGGGUACCAUUGUCAGGGUGAGCUAAGGAGGCCCUGCUGACAUUGGCCCAACCAGGCCCCUCCUUUGCGGCUGCUGUGGGGACUUUCGAGAGCAGAGCACACCCCUAAGUGCGUGGAGAGGAGGGAAGCUGAGGCUCAGAGACAUCAUGAGGAUGCCAGCUCAAGGCCCAGCCAGGCCUUGGUCCUCAGCUGCUGUCAUCCAGUAGGCUCAAGCCCAGAGGCCUCCAGGGUGUCCAGCCUCCAGGGUGCCUCCUACGCAGCCUCCACGUCCCCAUCCACUGCAGCCCCUGACCAUCGGGCACACCGUGGGGCCUUCGCUGGCCGCCGGGCCUCAGGUUCUGCUGCACCAAGUGAUUUUUAAAGCCCCAUCUGCCUUUCUCCACUUAUAAAGAACUUGGGACAUUUCCUCGAGGUUGGGCAUUUUUCCAGAUGUGGUUUCAGUGUCUCGCUUGCUACCUGGUCCCCUGUGCUGGGCGGUCCGCUGUGACGCACCUGGCAGUCCUUGCUCUAGGAUGGAUUCGGGCCGGCCCUUGUUCUGAGAACAGAGAACGGCCC